AUAACACGUAAAAAUAUUUUCUUCACGUAUCUGUCUUUAUAUUUUUUGGUACGAUAUUUAAUUUGUAAUUUACCAUGGAAAACUGUCCAAUCCCGUGAUGGAGGCUGAGAAAAAUAUUUAUAAUACUAUUCCUUUUUUCCCCAAGCAGGUUGCUUUUUCUUUAGUCUCUUUGAUUUCCUUUUGGCUAUGAGUGAAGUUUCUCCAGCUGCUACAGAGGCCUCCAUAUGAGAAGAGCUUUAUCUUCCUUCAAAUGCAAGUGUGAUCUAUAUUUACAUGUAAAGGGUGUAAGUCUGUUCUCCUUUUCUAUGUAUAGAUCUGAUCUAUAAACAACUAAAUAAUAUUUUUAUGGGUUUUUUUUCUUCCUAAUUCCCAUACUUAAAUGAAAUAUAUGUAAUAGAUCUAACCUAUUAAGGCCAAAAAUAUAUAUAAUUUUUUUCUUAUUCUUAUAUAUAUAUAUAUAUAUAUAUAUAUAUAUAUAUAAUAUGCUGAAAGCUGCCUCUUAUAAAUUCUCAUCCUCGUCCUAAAUCCUUUACAUUAUUAUCCAUUUUCUUCCCAACCAUAAAUAAUUAUAAUAUUUUAAUUUUUAUUCAUUAUUCAAUUAAUUCGUAUAUAUGAUUUAUUUCAUUUUUCUGGGCCAUAUAUAUUCAGAAUGGAAAUAUUGCAGUAAUUUAUGUUGUAGUUAGCAAUUAAUUAUGCAAAAGCCUACUGAUUCUAUUUACGUUUAAAUAAGGGAAACUGAGGAGGAAAAUAGAGAAGAACAGGCUGUGGAAGGGGAAAGCCAUAGAUUAGUGUUACCAGAAGAUGGGUACGAGUGGAGGAAAUAUGGCCAAAAGUUCAUAAAAAAUAUUUCAAAAUUCAGGAGCUAUUUCAAGUGCAGAAAGCAAAACUGCAAUGCGAAGAAGAGAGCAGAGUGGAGUGAGGAUAAGCCAGAUAAUGUGAGAAUAGUGUAUGAUGGGGUUCAUUCUCAUUCCUCUUCUUCUUCUUCUUCUUCUUCUUCGUCUUCUUCUGCUAACCAAUACAAUCUGUUAACCCAAGUUUCUGGAAAUCAACCCCCAACUUCACAAUAAUACUCUACAUGCAUAUGAAUUGGAUCAGAUUGGAAUUAAACUCUCUCAGGUAGAUUCUAAAAGAAUUAAAAAAAUGUAAAAAAGAGAUUGAAAAGUUGGGUACCUUUUGAAAUUUGUAAACCUAUCGGAUUUUGUUUGAAGGAUUUCUUGUAGCGCAGUUUACCGUUUGAAUGAAAUUGACCAAUUUUUAUUA